UACGGGGGGGGCAAGCGUUGUUCGGAAUUACUGGGCGUAAAGGGCUCGUAGGCGGCCAACUAAGUCGGACGUGAAAUCCCCAGGCUCAACCUGGGAACUGCGUCUGAUACUGGAUGGCUUGAAUCCGGGAGAGGGAUGCAGAAUUCCAGGUGUAGCGGUGAAAUGCGUAGAUAUCUGGAGGAAUACCGGUGGCGAAGGCGGCAUCCUGGACCGGCAUUGACGCUGAGGCGCGAAAGCCAGGGGAGCAAACAGG
rnacentral:rRNA from 1 species